GUAGGUGGCAAGCGUUGUCCGGAAUUAUUGGGCGUAAAGCGCGCGCAGGCGGUCCUUUAAGUCUGAUGUGAAAGCCCACGGCUCAACCGUGGAGGGUCAUUGGAAACUGGGGGACUUGAGUACAGAAGAGGAAAGCGGAAUUCCACGUGUAGCGGUGAAAUGCGUAGAGAUGUGGAGGAACACCAGUGGCGAAGGCGGCUUUCUGGUCUGUAACUGACGCUGAGGCGCGAAAGCGUGGGGAGCAAACAGGGAUUAGAUACCCUGGUAGUCCACGCCGUAAACGAUGAGUGCUAAGUGUUAGGGGGUUUCCCGCCCCCUUAGUGCUGCAGCUAACGCAUUAAGCACUCCGCCUGGGGGAGUACGGCCCCGCAAGGCUG
rnacentral:rRNA from 1 species